ACACGCUCAUUGCUCAUUGUCUCGGACCUGUGAACUGCAUCGUCUUCAGCGGUGGGAGAGGAAUUUUUUGCGAUGUCUUAACGGUGAUCAAAUUGAUGCGCGCGCACAGCCGGAUGUUGGAAUUUUGCUUGGGAGAUCGGAGAUGAGCGUUUUAUCCAGUUCCCCGAAUUUACUGAGUUUCUCUAGUGUGCUCUGCAUUGCGAUUUGUGAAAGAUUCCCGUUGCUUUUGCUGCAAAAAGCUUACAAUCUAAUAGGGUUACUACCUUUGCUUGUAACUUCGUGGCAUGUAGCUAGCAGGAGCGUAAUGUGAGCAUUUUUGUCUUGUGUAUUUGGGUGUGCGAUCUCAUCAGGUUCCGUAAAUAGUGUGUUGGAUGUUCAGCCACUUGUUGUGAGAUGAAAUUGGAUUCACUUAUCGGAUGUGGAAUGAAGCCUGAGGAAUUUGAAGGCGCUAGAUUUGAGUUGUUACUUAAUAAGUCGAUAUAUUUUGGCUCGACGUUUUGCAAUGUGUUCAAAUCACUCUACAAACUUAAGAAGGCUUCCUUAUACCACACGUGUACCCUCAAUGUCUGUGCUGUUACUGGUUGUCGCUAAUUGGAGCCUUGAUUUAUCUAUGCUUAUGUUUUAGUGUUCAUAAGUCUCAAGACCUUUGGGUUUUGGGUUUAUGAUUUGUAUUUAAUCGAAGCACAUUGAUUCCAAACUAUGUGUAACUUUAUCCCUAAAAAUAUACUAACAACAAUUUUAUAAAAAAAGAGCUAAGGAUUUUAUGCUGUCGCCGCAAUAUUGAAGCUAUUUGCGCGUAGUGUUGUUAAUACCAAUAGAAGCUUCUCAAGCAUUAUAGUUUUCUUUGUAUCCUAAAUUAAUAGUCAUGAACAUCCGUGAACAACUCGUAUUUCAUCUCGCAGCGAAUUCGAAUACGAAUAAUCCAAUGUCAGAAUUUCUAGCGCCAGAUCUUUCCGUUCUCCCUUCAGUUUCUGACGGGGGGAUUUAUUGAAGUUGCAUCUUAAAUUGGCGCUUAGAAUGUUCUCCUCGUCGAUGAUUUCGUCGAUCCAAUCUCACCCUUGCUAUUUAUGCGGUCUAUUUUCUUGUAUUCUGGAGUGCACGCGUUUUCCAUUCCAUACAAGCAUUUCAACAAUUCGUAUCUUGUUAUUUCCUAUAGAGUGUAAACUGAAAACAGAAUCGGUUCCAGAAUUCUACAUGAACUGUAAUAGGUCAUGAGUGAUAUGAAUUCGAGGACGAUGGAGAUGAGUCUCCUCUGGCCGAAAUACAUGGCUAUAGGAGCGAUCAAUCUCUUGUUGAACAGCUGCAAUUGAUCACGAGAUCUCACUGCCUGUAUCCGGCAAUAAUCUGCUUAUUUGUCGGCAUUUGUGCAAUUGUUUUGCAGAAUGACGUUCAUUUCUUAAACUCUGCAAUGAGUACAAUGGAGGACUACGGUUAGUUUCUCCCUGUUCUUCCACGGCAACCUUUGCCAAGUUGUUAAUAGACAACAUCUUGUCCCGUUCUCCCACGUUAUUGCAUUGAGUCUUAACUUGAUUUUGGUUAGGCAUUGCUUGUGUUCAAUAGACCCAUUGUCAGAUUGAUUGGUUACAAGCAUUUUGGAUUGUCAUGAAAUUAUUGGGCAAGUUCGGAUAGCCGCCAGUGAUUCCACUGCAAUUAUCAGCGCUACAUGGUUUCUGUUUUCCUUGUAAUGCCUGUAGGUUUCUGCAUCUUGUCUUGUCAUUGGUUCUUGGUGAUUUCUCAGUAUAAAAGAACAUCAUGAUCAGCUUCCAUGUUAUGUCAGUGAAUCAUCUGUUUCAAGUACUCUGCGAUGCCGCUCACUAGAACCCGGGUCUAGAUGUUGGUUACAAGGACACAUUCAACCUGGCAUUUAAUGAGGCGAUACUGCUGGAGGCCCAUGACAAUCUCUUGGGGAAAUGCUCCUUAGGAAAGCAUGUUGAAGAAGGUAUCUCGAGAACAAUAACGUGGAUCUAAACUUAGGUUUUUCUCAGCUACGUGACAUGCUAUUUGAUAUUUAAAAUGUUUUAAAAGUAAUGUAGAAUGUUUGUAUUUACUGCAGAGCCCAUAUCCAAGCACAUCUGGAAAUUCACAUCUUUACACUUCAUUUUUAUUUGAUUUUAUUUUAUAUUUUUUGACACAAAUAGAGUUACAUCUCUAUUGCAUAUAAUUUGAAAGUUGCAAAUCCCAACCAAGUCCAAUCAAGGUUAUUAGAUAUUUACCUAUA